UUUGAUCCUGGCUCAAGACGAACGCUGGCGGCGUGCUUAACACAUGCAAGUCGAACGAUGAAGCCUAGCUUGCUAGGUGGAUUAGUGGCGAACGGGUGAGUAAUACGUGAGUCGACCUACCUUUGACUCUGGGAUAAGCCUGGGAAACUGGGUCUAAUACCGGAUACGACCAAUCUCCGCAUGGGGUGUUGGUGGAAAGCGUUAUGGAGUGGUUUUAGAUGGGCUCACGGCCUAUCAGCUUGUUGGUGAGGUAAUGGCUUACCAAGGCGACGACGGGUAGCCGGCCUGAGAGGGUGACCGGCCACACUGGGACUGAGACACGGCCCAGACUCCUACGGGAGGCAGCAGUGGGGAAUAUUGCACAAUGGGCGCAAGCCUGAUGCAGCGACGCCGCGUGAGGGAUGACGGCCUUCGGGUUUGUAAACCUCUGUUAGCAUCGAAGAAGCGAAAGUGACGGUAGGUGCAGAGAAAGCGCCGGCUAACUACGUGCCAGCAGCCGCGGUAAUACGUAGGGCGCGAGCGUUGUCCGGAAUUAUUGGGCGUAAAGAGCUUGUAGGCGGUUGGUCGCGUCUGCUGUGAAAGGCUGGGGCUUAACCCUGGUUUUGCAGUGGGUACGGGCUAACUAGAGUGCAGUAGGGGAGACUGGAAUUCCUGGUGUAGCGGUGGAAUGCGCAGAUAUCAGGAGGAACACCGAUGGCGAAGGCAGGUCUCUGGGCUGUAACUGACGCUGAGAAGCGAAAGCAUGGGGAGCGAACAGGAUUAGAUACCCUGGUAGUCCAUGCCGUAAACGUUGGGCACUAGGUGUGGGGGACAUUCCACGUUUUCCGCGCCGUAGCUAACGCAUUAAGUGCCCCGCCUGGGGAGUACGGCCGCAAGGCUAAAACUCAAAGAAAUUGACGGGGGCCCGCACAAGCGGCGGAGCAUGCGGAUUAAUUCGAUGCAACGCGAAGAACCUUACCAAGGCUUGACAUAUACUGGACUGCGUCAGAGAUGGCGUUUCCCUUCGGGGCUGGUAUACAGGUGGUGCAUGGUUGUCGUCAGCUCGUGUCGUGAGAUGUUGGGUUAAGUCCCGCAACGAGCGCAGCCCUCGUUCUAUGUUGCCAGCACGUGAUGGUGGGGACUCAUAGGAGACUGCCGGGGUCAACUCGGAGGAAGGUGGGGAUGACGUCAAAUCAUCAUGCCCCUUAUGUCUUGGGCUUCACGCAUGCUACAAUGGCCGGUACAGAGGGUUGCGAUACUGUGAGGUGGAGCUAAUCCCUAAAAGCCGGUCUCAGUUCGGAUUGGGGUCUGCAACUCGACCCCAUGAAGUCGGAGUCGCUAGUAAUCGCAGAUCAGCAACGCUGCGGUGAAUACGUUCCCGGGCCUUGUACACACCGCCCGUCAAG
rnacentral:rRNA from 1 species